CUGUGCAGGGUGGAGAAGCAGGACACGUGAGCGACCAUCCAGUCUCAACCGCCGCGCCGCGACGCCGUGCGUGUCCGGCUUCGGUUUGGGGUGGUCGCUCAUGUGUCCGUCCUCUCCACCGAGCACUG
rnacentral:pre_miRNA from 2 species